rnacentral:rRNA from 1 species
AUGUUAUCUGCUUGUUGCCUGCUCUGUUCCUACUUGGAGCAGCAAAAUUGUCUUAGCUUCUUAUCAUCAGACGAAAACAAAUCUUCCACAUGUCUCUCGUGUGAUGAUGUAUAUGUAUUCCUGUGUGAUGAUGUGCUGUUGAUCAGAAUUCUGUUCUUUCUUGCAAGGGUAUAUUAUCAAGAUCUUCCACUGUUGUUUAGAGUUUUGGGGAUUCAACAAAAUCUUAUUUAUGUCUGUGUUGUAUUUUUGGCAAGAAUCUUGAAUAACCACUGGAUUGCAUAUGAUACUUGUUGCCUGCUAUAUAUGUGUUCCUACCUGUAA